rnacentral:lncRNA from 10 species
CCGCGCACGCGCACCGGCCCGCGCCCAGCCUCCGCUAGGGGACCCCCUCCGUGGCUUCCCACCGGGUUGUUCCAGGCCUCAGCUUCGCCGAAAGGCCUCACCACCUCCGACCUCCGCCUGCCCCGGGGAUGCUCCCAGCCCUGCUGCGGCAGAACGCGACGUGCUAACCGGAAUCCCUAGGCCGCCUGUCUCCUACCCAUACUUGGAGGCCCCGCUCAGACGGUCCUGAAAACGUCUGAAAGGCGGUUCCUGCCAGAGUCCCUGCUACCUGUUACCUCCACCCCUAUUUAGUCCUAGUGGACAGCUUCGCUCACCUUCCCUGGGAUGACACUUCUGGCGGCUGAGAUGAGCGAGCCUCUCUGGGCUCUGCCGCCGGGCGUGGGCUGACCUGCCUACAGCUGGGGCCUGAUAAGGCAGCAGCAAAAGGGUGGAGGGGAGGCAGUGUUGAAGCUGGGGCAAGUAAUUUUCCCCAAUUUACAGGGAAAAACCGAAAUUCAGAAAAGUUUAAUGUCAGCCAGGGGCUGGAACCCAGACCUCUGGCAGCUGUCACUUUCACAAUGCCCUUGGGCUGACUAGGCUGCAGAGGGGUUUCACCCCAACCCCAGGGCACCUCAAGUGGCCCCACCAAACCUUCCUAACACCUGACCACUAAGUAGGGAGGCCUCUCAGGGGGCUAGCUGUGCUAGGCCCUUGCAACUGACCUGUGGGACCUGAGGCCUGGCCCCUCAUGGCUCCUGUCACCAGGUCUCAGGUCAGGGUCCAGCAGGCCCUGAGCUGACGUGCGGAGCCAGAGCCACCCAAUCCCGUAGGGACAGGUUUCACAACUUCCCGGAUGGGGCUGUGGUGGGUCACAGUGCAGCCUCCAGCCAGAAGGAUGGGGUGGCUCCCACUCCUGCUGCUUCUGACUCAAUGCUUAGGGGUCCCUGGUGAGUGCCCCCAACCUUGAUCCCCAUCUGCCUUCAGGAGGGGCUUGGCCCCAUUCUCCUAUUCUGGGAUGAGAAAAAAGUCAGGGAGCCAGAGGCUCAGUGGGCAUGGGGCAGUGACCUUGGCCUCUUGAGCACAGCUGGGAAGCCCUAGGAACACAUAGACAUGGCCCACUUAGGCCUCUAUUAGCACGUCUGCUCUAGCACUGAAGCAGUGUUAGGACCACACAGAUGCACGCACACAGCAGGCAGUGACCCCUCCUGAGCCUG